rnacentral:lncRNA from 1 species
GACCCACCACCCUUUAGUACGCUUGGGGGAGAAUGGAAAAAGAAAGAGAAGCGAAAGAGAGGGAAUAGAAAAUAAAAGAAAAUGCCGCUACUGAUGCUACGACUGGUCCUUGGCAUCCGCCAGUAGGGACCCCGUAUCGACCUGGAUUGGAUGAAUAGAAAAGUUCCCUCUAUCUGGUGACUGGUGAACGUACUUUGGAUAUUUUCCCUACUCCUAUUGCGUCUUUGAUUCAUCAAUUCCAAUCUAUGAAUUAGGAAUCCAAUUCGGUAUCUUGCGUACGAAUUCAUGUUGUCAACGAGGAUGAGGAUAUUAUGUUUUACCACCCAACUGUAUAAAGAAAAAUAAGACUUAAAAGGGAAUGCCUUUGAGAGCAGAAUGUAGGAACCUAGCUUCCCUUCGUCCUCCACAUAUAUAUUUUUCGGAGGUUUAUUGUGAUCAAGAAAAGAACUAUUAGAAUCCGUCUUGUUCUGUUCUUUCCUUUAUGAUAAUCAAAAUUGUCUUAGACAAGAAAAGGCUGGUCGAGAAUCCAACUGACAGAUGGCAAGAUCUUCAGUCUUCGACCUUAUCCCAGCGGUUUUCGCAUCCCCUGCUAUUGAAGAAGCUGUGGCACUUGAUUAGCUCAAUUGACAUCUUUUUAAAUGCCUAUCUGAGAUCCGAUUUUCAACCCAUGAGUAAGCGGAAGAGCAGGCAGCUAUUGAAUCAGCAGCACAUUUGCCGGAAAGAGCUCUCCCUAUUGCGCAUAGCCCUUUAUUGGGCAAGAGACCAGAACCAUUCCCCGCACCUUCCUUUAUUGUAUUAGCUUUGCAGUAAUAACUUCUUUGAGUAUGCAGUUGCCGAAUUAGCACUCGCGGAUUCAAACCCCUCCUUUCGUUUCGAAGCCUUGAUGUGCCGAAAGUUCGAAUAGCUUAAUCUCUCUCCUUACUUGAUUCAUAGGAUCUUGCAGGGUAACAGUCUAUUUACUCCUUUCCUGCUUGUACUAUUACUAAUAUUAUGUCACUUCCGGUAAGAAAGAGCGUCAUUCUCAAGCAGCUUUUUCUUUCCUCUGUCUCCUUUGCCCUUCGCACCUUGGAAUAUAGAAUAGAAACUUUUGAAUCCCAAAUUCCCCUCUUUCAUUCAUCUCAGAUGCACAGUGAAUCACGAGACAGGAGCGAAGACCUUUGAUAUUGAUAUUCCCGGAUCGAGUUCUUACCCUUAUCGAGCAGGAAAUAGGAAUAGAAUCGGACAAAGAGCUGUUAGCAGGGCUUGUUCACGAAUGCCCUGUUAUGUUAGAAGGAAUCAUUGGACAAAAGCGAAGUUGAGCCGCCUUUUAGGAGAGGAGCAGAAAGGAGGUUCUAGAACUGGAUUGUUUAGCAAAUACCAUAGCACAUAGUACUCGGAGCCCAGAGACAAAGACUCAAUUCAUAAAAGCUCAAACUUACCCAUCCGAACAAGACGCACAUAUCCCUUUUGGGGUCUGACUAGUGAGCCAGGCAGGAACAAAGCGACGAAAGUCUCCGCAAUUGUACUAACGAUAGUUCAACAUCUCCAAACGGGCAAACUUAUGGAUUGUGAGCUUUCUCACCAUUUCGACAUCUCUUUACCAUUUCAUCGUCGCAAUCAGACAAAAGGAGACCCGGUCCAACGCAUAAGACUACUACAUGGACCAUAUUUCAAUGGUACAAGACCUUUUCCCGAACCUCGUGCGAUUCAAUCUAUCUGCUUUAGAUCAUAAAAAAGCGUAUAUAACUAGUUAAUAAAAUGAACCAGCACUAGUCAUCCCAUUCUUUUUUGGUUUUAACCCCUACCCUAUUGUUGUUUGUUACAGGUGUCCUUGAGUGGAAUUCAGGGAAUCUGAAAGUAGGGACAGUAAACGCCUUUCUACUAGAAGGAAGGCUGGCGUCCAGAGGCACUACUAGGAAUAGGGACAAGGAAUGACUCCACUUUUGAAGAUUCUUACCGCCAGGGAGGGUUCUGGAUCUAAUAAGCUGGUCUCCUUUGAAAGCGGGGUUGCCUAAGAAAGCGCCUUUUCCUACUACUACUAGUAGAAUGCCGGUUUUCGUCACCUUUAUUUGAGUUGAUGAGGUGAUCUGAUCUCGCCUCUAGGCAGGUCGAAGAGAAGGUUGUUAUCACAGUCCUACCGCCGAAUACAACAAUUAGACUGCUCUGUUAGGAAGUGCUUUCUCCUAGACAUUCCCGGGUCGGUCCUUUCGCCUGGCCACCACCCACAGGGGACAAGGCCUUCUUCUCCAGUCGCGGAUUCUCCACUUCUUCGGAUUCGGAUGUAGAUGUGUCUGCUGAAAGCCUAGGUUUACUAUUAUAUAUAGCCCAGAGUAACGGAACAAAAUGGAAUCUAGAAUGGGUUAUUGAGGUAAAGGACUUCAACCUCGCUGGGUAUGAUGAAAAGCUCUCACCAGGAUUGUGUUUCCAGGUCGAUUGAAUCAACAUUUCCUUGUGAUAGCUGAGAAGCGUUCUAAAGACUUUUCGACAAGGGGGGCAAAGGAUUGAAUUGAAUACCUAGGGAGAGUGAAGUACCAUUCCAUAGCUUGAUCAGUAAGGCUCCUUGGGAAUAGUCUGAUCAUAAGACUAUCAUCAUGAGCCACUUCAGCACAUUAGGCGGAUGGGCAUAAAAGGAUUUCACGUGCGUAAGGGGAUCCCCCUUUUCGCUAUGUAGGUUCAACUACUUUUUGAUGUGGGCCCCAUCAUUCCUUCCAAAUCUAAGGAUCAUAGGGUUGAGGACCUCUUCAUACGAAUUUUUCUAUUUCCUCUUAAUGUUUCGAGCCACUGUCUCUUCAAGCCUUUUUAGCUGUUCCUGGACUUUUGCUAGGUUUACCCUGUGGAUUUUGAAAGAAAGGUUGUUGGCAAAAGCCUGGGUUAGGUGUGAAAGGUAUUCGGUUGCCACCAGCUCUUAAGCACACCCAUUGGCAUUGACUGCAUGGGAUCGAAAGACUUCCGGUUUCGUGAACGUGUCCAUAACUUUCUCAUGGAUCUGAUUUGGAUGAAUACACGGGAAGCCCAGAGACCUCAUUUGGCAUUGUGCGGCUUCUUUAAUUGCACUAGCGCACUCAGGUGAGCAACAAGCCGUUGGUUGAACCAAUAGGGGCUCUGGCAGAAGAUACCACCAGACACCCAAUCCCAGCAGAAGACAUGUUAGUAGGACGAAUCGGCUGUCUUUGACGUAGGCGAAGGCCAUUGCCUCUGAUAAGCCGAAUGUCCUUGUACGACUAAUUUGUCUUGUGGCGCCCGCUAAUCCAAUAACGCGAUCCGGGGAUCUAAGUAGGGUGGCUUUGUUGCCUCUAUUUUUUUCUAUUGUCGAAGCAAAAAGAAAGGGCAACUGUUCUCGAAUCAGCAAUGCCACAUCUGACUCAAUCUAAAAGCAUUUUAAAAACCUCCCUUCCCCCUUUUGCCAAGGAAAGCCUUGAAAGCAGGAAAGGCAAGUUCACAAAGGAAAGGGCUUUGGGCAUUAAAUGCCUUCUUAGAAUCCGCAGAGUAAGAGGUGAUUUUAAUAGCUUAAAAUAGGAUAUUUCUUUAUCUUUCUCGGAAUAUCCCUCUUUCGUACCCAAGAGUAGCGGGAUUUCUAAUAGGAGCAAUUAAAGGAUUAGUUAGCACUACCUCAGAUCCAAAAGGAGAAUAAGGGAAGGUGCCAAGUAGCUGAUUGCAACUAAGGCAAGGAAUAGGAGGGAAUGAAUGGCGCAUACCUAAUAUAGUAUAUAUAGGGCAUCAGUGAUGUCCCAAAAAGGUCUCGGCGAAGGACUAGGGCAUUGUUAGAAGAGUUAGCAGGAUUCGGGCCUAAAAAGCACUGCUUUCAAGAGUUUUUAUUCACUAACUGUUAGAGAGGCCAAAUCUCUCCGAAACUGGAUUUCUUUUGUAAUAUGUAUAACCUGCCCUUACCGCCGAUCGUACUCGGCUCGUGCCGUGCUUGGUGCCAUCAAACUUCUCUCUUAACCCGUUAUCGCCCCAUAGACUGAGAUAUGCUCCUGGCAAUGGAAGUAUAUAUGCAACUGGAGAAUCUUGUUAUGAAUCUGGAAAUAGAAUAUAUAUCCCUGGUAUGGUGAGCACGUAUGGCUAGUUCGACACCUGAAGCAAGACUCGGUCUUGUUCUAAGUCUAGGUCCAUUGAGGUAAACUCAUCGGCUUAUAUAAAACUCUUCAACGUCCGACUCUACGUCCAUACCAACCGUACAAGUACCGCUUGAAAAGCGUUUGAAGGGAAUAGGUCCUUAGCGCCUGAAUGUUUGUCAAGUCUUCAAAGCCCUCCCUUUCACUAGCAAUAGAACUCAAGCUGCACCACUUCCUCUUUAUCUGGAAAUCCUUGUCAAGGGAUGGAUAUGCGUUAAUUGACCAUAAGAACUGCCCUUAUUUCAGACUUUAGCAACCUUGACCUUACGAACCCAGGAAUUACAAUGAAUAGCAAGAUAUUUACCUUCAACGGCACUAAGAUUUUUGACUCGCUCCUUUCCUUGGACUGCUGCCCUUGGGAACGGGUUUGGGCAUACUCUCUCUGUGCUGGAAUGAUCCUCUAACCCUCAACAAGACUUCCCCCGAUCUUUUCUUUAGGCCAAGAGAAGGAAGUUGAAACUCAGUCGCCCCCCUAUCUAGUAGGGCUUGUCACCGAGAAUGUGGAAGAAUGGCUCACUUGUGACAGUAAGGGAGAAGCACUAAUGGUUUACCAAUACGGAGAUGCAGGGAUCAUUCUAUUCUCAAGAUCUACCCUAGCCCUUUCACCGGAGUCCAUCUUCGUCCCUUUCAAUCUCAACGCCCGGGCAGACCAGUGAAGCUGUUAGUAAGAGACCAGGCGAUAGAGACCAUAUCCCUGUAGAAGUCGUCUUUGGAAAGAAUUGUCUUUGCCACUUAAGAGUUAUUAUCUUUCCUGGCGUGGAAGCUGCAACAACUCCUCUUAUUGGCUAGACAUCUGGUCAUGCACAUCACAAUUAGACACAACUGAAUCUCUUAUUCGCCUUCGCCUUCCAAGGGCGAUUUUCUUAGUCUUCCGGGACCUCUCAGGCUAAAGUGAAUACAAUUUGAGCGGGGCACGGUUGGCGAUAAGCUGGUACUGUAUUUUUAUUAAAAAACCCGAAACUGGAAAAUCCAAUAUACUAACAAUGUAGGCACACGUUGGCACAGUUCUGUAAAUAAGAGAUGUCGCAAUCAGUCUUUCUCGUCCUGGUAGCAGUACGAAUAGGAGAUCAAAUAUGACUCCUUUAGAAUGCGCCAAAGACAGGUUUCAGUUCCAUCUUCUACAAAUGCUUUCAUUGAGAUUGGCUUGGUGGUCUUUAUAUACGAAUAUUCUUGUUUACCCACCCUACUUCUUAUUGAGCCGCUUACAGUCGAUAUAUGAAAGUAAGGCGUGGGCACGUUGGAACGAUCCCGCUUUGAAAGCUCAACCUCGAGAGAAUCAGUUUCGCCGGUCCAGUGACUUGGCAUACAAAGGCGAGUAGGGUUCUCCUCUAUGUGGUGCACUCCCGCUUCUUCAUACCCGGAAGAAGUUUGAGCUGCUCCAAGGGACAGCUUUUUGCUGCCGGAUGAAGGUCUUACGUCGGCUAAGAAGACGGAAAAUUCCAUCUUUUUGCGGUCCUGGAGAUCGGGGAAAUAAGAGUUCGCCCUCCCUAUGAAGAGGGGGUGCUCGCAAAGUCAAAGUCAAAAAUUCGAUUCUUUCAUUAAGACAGGGGUAGGGGGAAUAAAUAGUUUAAGUGAUUUACACCUCGAAGUAGAGUGUGUAAAUACCGGAUGCAUAGGUUGAGUCAUUCGCUAAACAACUAUUUUGUUAGGCGAUCAACCAGGUGCUCCCACCCAACCGGACUAAUGAAUGCCAACUGGAAGAACUCACUUUCCUAUCGUUCAGUAGGAGAUCCCUUCUUGUGGCUUGAAAAUGAUUACCUGUUUAUAACACAAAAAGGAGAGAUCUUUCAUUAGGGUUUGAUGCUCCUCAAUGGAGAUAAUCAGAAUAAUAGCUUGCUUGUGGAACCCUUUGUUUGGUACUUUAAUGGGGGUAUUCUUGUACAGCUUGGCCCUUUCCCUGGCGCACUGCCAUCGAAUCUACUAGUCCUCCUCAAACCCAAUGGGAUAGAAUUCCUUGCGAAUUAUAGUUUUCAACUUCUUCCGUGACAACCCAGAAAUGUCAUGGUUCCUCAUAUAUGCAUUCCAUCAAGUUAGUGCAUAAUUUGACGAUUUCGAUUUUCUUUCUCCGAUCCAGUUCGUUCUGUCUUCUUUCCGACGGAUCAGCCCUAUUCUAUUAGAGAAGGGCUUCCGAUUCUGUAUGACAACAGAACGAGCAUUCGCUGGACGGCCAAACAUUGAAUGAAAUGUUGGCAUGGGGUUUCGGCAAUUUCAAUUCCAUUUUCAGUCUUUUUCAAUUUCAAUUGAUCUUGUAUACGCCGGUUGAAGCACACGUUGGAGCAUCCAAAUCAACCAGCAGAGGCUGCUGUGGCAGAGACAACAGCAAAAGCAUUUGUCUCCGUUGAUCACCUAUCAGCAGGGGAAGCAGCAUAGAUGGCAGGAACUAACUAGGGUUUAGGUACCAAUUCGAAGAGCAUUCGCUAAAGAAAACACCUUCUCAAAAUUAUUCAAAGCUUUGGUCUGAAAUAAUUUCCAAUGCUAAGCUUCUAAUUGAGAAUUCUCGUUGGCUUAUUGGAGAUGGAACUGAAACUCACUUUUGGACUGAUAACUGGUUGCUGGAUAAGCCAUUAAUUUAAUAUGCUACAGCGUAUCCUCUUUGCUUUCCUAAAAUUGUUGAAUUACUGGAUAGCAAUGGGAACUGGAACUUAAAACCUGUUAUUGGUCAGCUCCCAUCUGAAAUUGUUGAAAGCAUCAUCAGCUUAGAUAUCUUUCUUUCAGAAAAAAAGGACAGAGUUGUGUGAAUUAAGGAGAACUCAGGUAGCUUCACUGUUCGGUCCGCUUUGGAGUUAAUUCGUAAUAGAACUGAGUCAAAUACCUGGGCAAAAGCAGUUUGGAGCAAGAAUGUCCCACCAAAGCUUAACAUGUUUGCUUGGAAGCUUUUUUACCAUGCAUUACCUUUGGAUAACAGGGCUUUAGCGGGGCUUGGGAUUUACGAAUCAAACCCCCUUCUAUGAAGUGAAGCAACCGAACCUGUCGAAUGAUUGAGACCGACCUCCUUUCCUCAAAACACCACACCCAGCAACUCCCUGUGUUGCCCUUUUUCCACCGUAGACAACACGCGCAAUGGUUCGUCAGGAGCGAAGAGUUCGGUGAUAUGCAAGAGUGACUUUCCUCGGAAAAGAACACCACCGAGCGGACCCUGUUCCCUUUAAAGCGCUGGCAUAAAGAUGCUGCCCGAGAAAACUUGCUGCUUCAUUGGUUGAUCGAACCUCAUGUUUUCGAUCUCCUGCUGCUAAGCUCAAAUCUCAUUCUAUAAGGGCAUUUUAGCAGCCUGUAACACAUGUUGAACACGGGCGCUAGCCGACAUUACAUCUACCUCUUUGAGAAAGAUCAAAGGGGACGCCUCGCAAAGACUACUCAGAGCAGAUUUCGUGCUCAAGACGAGACUCCUCAUCUAAGUCAAUAGAUGGGGCAGAUGGUUUCUCUCUUCACGAGUCGUCUGGCUCCAUACUUACCCCCCUUUUCCGACCUCCGAGCCGGCUACUGCUUUAUCAAAUCAUUCCUUUUCGCGCGCUACUUCACUUAACGUUUUUAUUUCCUUGUGAUUCUAGGAAGUUUGAAACUACCUUUGCUUAUUUAUUCUUCCUGUUCUUCGGGUCUCAUCUGAACGGCUCGCUGCCUAUUUUGUUACUUUCUUUGUUUGGAUUCCAGAACAGAACUACAGAUCCUGGCCCCCUCCAUUCGACCUUGUAAAAGGUCUCAAUGGGGAGGAGCUCUCUUGGGGCCCUGCUCACAGCUCUCCAUCUUAUGCAUCAAAAGGUUCAAGUAAUCCAUAUUCUUCUUCCCCACCCCCUACCUUGAAAGAACAUCGGUAAGUUUGCAUUAGUUCAGCUGGAGUAAGGAACCCAGUACGAAUGCUUUCAGUGGUUCUCCUAGGUUAGAAAGGGGAGGUGGGCGGGAUAAGAGAAGCAGCAAAGCGCAAGAGCAACUACUUCCCCCUCGUAUAGGUCAAAUUUACAUAUUUUGAAGAUAGCUUGAAUGAAAGAUGGAUGCUAGGUAGGACCAGAUUCCAUCCCAUCGGUUGAUCAAUCAAUAGAGGGAGGAAUAAACCAAUACUAACUAACUAACCGAUACAGGGAGCAAAGGCCCUAGGUAGAUGGUACGCUUCGUCUCGCUUCUUCACCCGGUGACUUAUAUAUCUAUUCAUUUCCCACGUACUCACUGACGAACUGUACUAACUGGUGGGUUGAUCCAGGUAGCUCAGAUCUGGGAAUGUACUACAGGGAACCUUCUCUAGUCUAGGAGCAUUUCCACUAUGUCUGUGUUCUUUCAAUGCCCCUUCCUAUAAGAACGUGCUAAACGAGCUAACAGUCAGUCCUGUCCUAAAGGCCUAUAAGUUCUACCAAUCCCCUUAAUACAAAUAGUAUGUGAUUGAUUGUGCUUAUCCCUAGUUCGGGUGCCCUUCCCCCUAGUGUAAUUCCCCAGUAGGAGUCUUUACUAGUGGCAUGCCGGAUAUUCCCAUUGUCUCACGAGUGGGAUUAAUCCUGUAAUAGUACCAGUCCUUAUCCAUUUAAAAAUUCCUUUCCUUAGGCAUCGCAAUGUUCAUGUCACCGGUCGUACCAACUACGACAGCGCGAUCAAGAGAGAAUGUUAUCCUCAUGCCAUACCAUCUAGGUGGGAUUCAUUCUAUCUAAUUAUCCUUGGGAUUGAUAGUGAUAGUAGUCGUUAGGAAGGCAAGUGAAGGGAAUUCCUUUCUAUAAAGAGUAUGUGAUCAGCACGAAUUGUUUCAUUCUGUUUUUCCGUAAGUCAAGCUGGCUGGCCAAAGCUUCUUUUCCAGGUCCAGAAGUCGAUCCAGUGGGUAGAGUGUGGCAUCUUAGUUAGGACGAGGUUACAUCAGAGUUGAUUGAUCUUGUUUAUACCACUGAAAGAACUGAAAGAGGUGGCCGGGCUUCGACAACUGCAGCAUCAGUGGUGUGGAAAUGCCUCUUUGACAUAGCUGCAAAGACGGUGCCAGUUCAAUUCCUUAUUGAUUGCUACCUCUAAUCCAACAAGAUAGACUGAGAUCUGGACAUAACCUACGCGCUGCUCGUGUGAGGGCAAAAGCAAUUUCUUUAUUUUUUCUUUCACAUUUAAUAAAUUGAGUAUGAACUGCAGUUCCAUAUGCUCAUCGGUCUUUCACAACAAGCCAAAAAGGCAGGUUCAUCAACCCUGCGAGGGUAAGUUGUUCGCUUCUAGAGCGCUCAGCCCUGUGUCAGAAAGAGAGUGAGGGCCUGCCAGUACCGGCUAAGAUGAGUGAAAUCCAUUUUUUUGGCUAAA